UAGCUCAGCUGGAUAGAGCGUCUGGCUACGGACCAGAAGGCCGGGGGUUCGAAUCCC
rnacentral:tRNA from 1 species